UUGGGAAUGGUCGGGAUAG
rnacentral:tRNA from 2 species